rnacentral:rRNA from 1 species
AGAGAGAGACAUGCGCGCAUAUCAAUAAGCGGAGGAAAAGAAACUAACAAGGAUUCCCUUAGUAACGGCGAGUGAAGCGGGAAGAGCUCAAAUUUGAAAUCUUCGAGGUUUUACCUUGACGAAUUGUAGUUUAAAGAAGUGUUUUCUGCUGAAGUUUUGGUAAAAGUUCUUUGGAAUAGGACAUCAUAGAGGGUGAGAAUCCCGUAUUUGACCAUUAUUUUCAGCUUUGUGAUACACUUUCAAAGAGUCGGAUUGUUUGGGAAUGCAGUCCAAAAUGGGUGGUAAAUUUCAUCUAAAGCUAAAUAUUGGCGAGAGACCAAUAGCGAACAAGUACCGUGAGGGAAAGAUGAAAAGAACUUUGAAAAGAGAGUUAAACAGUACGUGAAAUUGUCAAAAGGGAAGCGUUUGACACCAGUGUUGUUUUCUCGAAAAUCAAUUAAAAAUGGCUCGAUUUUGUAUUGCUUGAGACCUUAAAAGCUCACUGUACAUUUUUCGUGUCUUUUUUAAUGCACUUUUCGUUUAACAAGUCAACAUCAGUUUCUUUUGUUGUAAAAGGGUCAUUGGAAGGUGGCUUUCUUUUCGGAGAAAGUGUUUAUAGCCUUUGGCCUCUGCAAUCGGAGAGACUGAGGUCUGCAGCGUAGACUCUUCGGGGUUAGAUACAUUUGUGCUAAGUUAUAGCUUUUUAUAGACAACUUGUUGACUAUAAUUAGUCUUGUAGCUUACUCGCUUAUGCUAUUUUACCUACGCUUAGGAUGUUGAAGUCAUCGUAUCGCGC